CACGUAGGGGCCAAGCGUUGUCCGGAUUUAUUGGGCGUAAAGAGCUCGUAGGCGGUUCAGCAAGUCGGGUGUGAAAACUCUGGGCUCAACCCAGAGACGCCACCCGAUACUGCUGUGACUAGAGUCCGGUAGGGGAGUGGGGAAUUCCUGGUGUAGCGGUGAAAUGCACAGAUAUCAGGAGGAACACCGGUGGCGAAGGCGGCUCACUGGCCCGGUACUGACGCUGAGGUGCGAAAGCGUGGGGAGCAAACAGG
rnacentral:rRNA from 1 species